rnacentral:rRNA from 1 species
GAUGAACGCUGGCGGCGUGCCUAAUACAUGCAAGUCGAGCGAAUGGAUUAAGAGCUUGCUCUUAUGAAGUUAGCGGCGGACGGGUGAGUAACACGUGGGUAACCUGCCCAUAAGACUGGGAUAACUCCGGGAAACCGGGGCUAAUACCGGAUAACAUUUUGAACCGCAUGGCUCGAAAUUGAAAGGCGGCUUCGGCUGUAACUUAUGGAUGGACCCGCGUCGCAUUAGCUAGUUGGUGAGGUAACGGCUCACCAAGGCAACGAUGCGUAGCCGACCUGAGAGGGUGAUCGGCCACACUGGGACUGAGACACGGCCCAGACUCCUACGGGAGGCAGCAGUAGGGAAUCUUCCGCAAUGGACGAAAGUCUGACGGAGCAACGCCGCGUGAGUGAUGAAGGCUUUCGGGUCGUAAAACUCUGUUGUUAGGGAAGAACAAGUGCUAGUUGAAUAAGCUGGCACCUUGACGGUACCUAACCAGAAAGCCACGGCUAACUACGUGCCAGCAGCCGCGGUAA